UGCCCAGCAACUCCUAUCCGUACCUCCUCGUGGUACCGGCCGGAAACUCGGGUAACCAGCCCCGGUGGGAACUUUGGUCGUAGGCUGACAGGGAAGG
rnacentral:ribozyme from 1 species